rnacentral:lncRNA from 1 species
AUGCCUCCGACGAGGGUCUGCCCUGCAGAACCCCCGCGCGUCCUCCCGCAGCCCUCCCCGCGCGCCCCGACCCCUCCUGCUAUCAGCAGCCCUCUCCCCUGCGCCCACGCCGGCAGACCCAGCCCUGCCAGGGGCCCCGGAAACCCUGGCUGGCUACAGGUGCCUCCCGCCGGCUCCCGGUGUGAGGGGGGAGCCAAGGGGUCGCGCCGGGCGGCCCGAAGGAGUGGGCGCCGGGGCGUGGUUGCGGCGGAGCAGGGUGUCCGGGGCUCCGCGGGUGCGUGCCCGGCUCCUGAGCGUCUGCCUCGCGGACCGGAGAGUCUCGGUGAGCCUGGAAGCGUCCGCGUGCGUGAGUCUGUCUGUCCUCGUCCCUGCGUAUUUCUGCGGAAUGCCCAGAUCAGGAGCCAGUUCCCAAGAAAAGAGAUCAUCUCUCUCCCUCCUCCACGGGAAUGGGGAGCUGCUUCUGGACCGAGUGGAGCUGGGGGUAGGGGGCGCCCAGGGUCCUCCCUGGAACCGCGGGCACCCGAGAGCCUUCCUCAGCCCCUCUAGCCCGCCGUAAGAUGACCGUCGGCCAGGGUGCCCAGCUUAGAUGCCUCUAAGAGGAGGUCCUGGAAGGUUCUGCAAAAGAGCUUCCUAAGGGCAGGCAUGGCUGAGGGAGGGGCCGUAGCCAGGAGUUGGGAGGGAGCCACUGGGGGUUUGGAGCCUCGGAGAGGGCAGGCAUGCCUCAUAGGCAAGCCACCCGUGCAGCAACAUAGGGCUCAGCACCCAGGAGACACCCUCUCCGCCUUGGAUUAAUGCUCUGCUGUUGCUGUACUGAAAUUUUCCUUCCUCCCUCCCUCCCCACCUCCCUCUCUCCCUAUCUUCCUUCCUUUGAGGAAGAUUAGCCCUGAGCUAACUGCUGCCAAUCCUCCUCUUUUUGCUGAGGAAGACUCGCCCUGAGCUAACAUCCCUGCCCAUCUUCCUCUAGUUUAUAUGUGGGACGCCUACCACAGCAUGGCUUGCCAAGCGGUGCCAUGUCCGCACCCAGGAUCCGAACCAGCAAACCCUGGGCCACCGAAGCGGACCAUGUGCACUUAACCACUGCGCCACCAGGCGGGCCCCUGAAAUUCUUCAUUUUUAAACAAGGGGGCUCACAUUUUCAUUUUGCAGUGGGUUCAAAUGACAUAGUCAGUUCUGAUUGCUAGAGGGUCCUGGCUGCCAAGAGCCCUGGGCGGGGAGGGAGUCAACAUGGGGAGCUUGCCUUUCCUUCAUUCAUUUUUUUCAAUCCAUUCACUCAACACUUAUCAACACUGCAUCAUUUGCCAGGCUGUUCUAGGUGCUGGGGAUUCUGCUGGGAAAGACUGUCCUCCUGGAGCUGACAUGCAGAUGCAGACACACUCAAUGUUUACUGAGUAUUUACUGAGAACUCGCUGGGAAGCUGGAGAGCAUCAAAGGUGAGACUCAGCCCUGCCCUCCAGGAGCUCAUGGCCCAGUGGGGGAGGCCCAGCAAACAGCCCCUGUGAGCAGGGCUGCCUGGAGGGGAGGGCUGGGUGAGCCCAGAUUCUGCCAG